AUGCACUUCUCCCAAACCCCGAAAAUUCUCUUGUCCCAAAUCGAACAUCAUGCAAGCAUGUCGCCUCUCGUUGUGGUGAUUCUUCCAUGCUUCCGUCCUCUACAAAAUUGCUUGGUGGCAGGAGUUUUAUGUUUUUCACACAAUCGAGUUGAGGAGGGAUCGAGAGAAAGCCACAUGAAUUGUCUUGAAGGUGCAUGGGACGAACAAAGGGGGAUAACAACACAUGUUGUCGUCAACACUCUCAUAUUGCACCAUCUGCAAAAUUACUACCAGUUCAGUGGAUUGUUACCAGUUCAACAACUACUUUAA
rnacentral:rRNA from 1 species